AUUAACAAAGGGAUCUAAUCCUUGGUAUUUUAUUCAGUCUAUAUUAAAUUUGUUUUAUACAAAUUUUUAUCAAAAAAUAUGCAAAAUCAACAAAGAUGUAGGCUUCGAUUUAACAAACUAAUAAAAAAAUGUCCCCUCCAUCGUGCUAUUGAUAUCUGGACGAAGAAUUAUCUCAAAAUAUAAAACAAAAUUUUAUCAACAUCUACGCAAGUGUAGCAAUCGUUGUUGGUGGCUGUAUUCACCUUUUUUUUUUACAUUCGAUCACGGCUUGAAAAAAAAGGGUUAUGACAAAAAAAAUGUUAAUCUCCCGCUUUUUUAUAAAUAAUAAUUGAAAAAUGAAAAGAAAAACGGCACCGUACGACGAUAGCUACAUUUGCGUAGAUGUUGAUAAAAUUUUGUUAUUUAUUCUCAGAUAACCUUUCACCGAGAUAUCGAUGCCACGAUGGAGGGGAAAUUUUUCGUUAGUCAAAGUCCAUAUAUUUGCUAAUUAUAAAUAUUCUCCAAUGAUAACUUGUAUAAAACGAGUUUGAUAUACAAUUAAUAAAAUACCAGCAAUCCAGUCCCCUUAUUAAUUGAUUAUCCCUGUGAAAAUUCUUCAAAAUCGGUUAUUUCUUCGUCUGUCACGGAACUACCGUCUGUUUCUACAGAAACAACUCAAGACAAUCGAUACACGUAUCUCUGAAUAUUCGUAAAAUUACCGUAAACAAUUAGUGAAGGUAGAUGAAUAUUUAAAUAUCAAAAAUAUCAACACUACCUUUACGCAUAAUCAACACAGAAUAAGAAGUUGAGUCGAAUAGUGCUAAGAAAACAGAAGGAAAAUGAUUUUUUCCGAAAAUUCACGUGAUAAAUACAUAUUUAAAUGUUUCUUUCAUAGAAUAUCUACCGAAAUUAUGACUCGUUUUUGUCAGGGAAAAACCAUCGCAGGCCUGUGUUACUAACGAACCGUUGCAUUGUUGUAACAGCUGUGAUAAAUACAAUCUCUGAUUUUACCCCGGUGUGAACGUUUUUGAGAAACUUAGGCAGCUCCUAUUUAGUUUUCACCGAAGACGUCAAAUUCGCGCAACAUUCUUCCGUAAGUCGAGAAUUAUCUGUCAUUCCGACCGACUUCAAACUUCACCCUCCCCUACUUCAAUACGCUUCGGAUGUGCGUGACAUAAUUAUCGUUUAUAAUUAAGAGGAUGAGAUUAAAUAUCUUUAGCAAACUCGUCUUGGUUUCGUCCAAUCCCGUCUCACUACUUUCUCCCACGCUCCUGAGGCCAGAUAUCAGGCCGCAAGGCUACAUGAAUAGCGUUGAAAGCUGAUAAAAUUGCAUCAGUGAGUCUGGAAAGCUACAGUUGGAAGCAAAGAUGGCUCCGCUGAUCUCUUAUACGCUGCCUGCGAUACAGCUCGUGUGGAUUCUUGUCGUCCCGGCAGCUUUAGCCGCGAAUAUCGCCAAUUUGGAUUCAAGUCUUGCGGUGCAGUCGGAAAAUCGGAACUUGUCCAACGCGGAAAACUUGGCUGUCUCGUAACUCCGACUUCAAAUCCAGCUGAGACUGAAUCGUCGCCGAAGGUCAGAACCGAGACUCUACCGGACGGUUAUACGAGCUUUCCUCAAAUCGGAGCAGCUUUCAAGUAUCAUCGUGACGAAAAGGUGACGUGGCGAAAUGCUGCGCAGAAAUGCGUCGACGAGGGCGGAAACUUGGUGGUGACUGAUUCCUGGCGCAAGUUCGACGUCGUUCGGUCACUCUUAUCACCCGGCGAUAAGAUCCACGUAGGAAUUCGCGAGGACGUAUCCGGGAAUUGGGUGGACGUCAGGACAGGAUCACCCGUCCCGACUGUACCUUGGCAAUCGGUUCAACCUGCCGGUCGAGGCUACUACUGUGCCGCAAUGUUCAAAAAUGUUCGAGGACUGGACAAUCAUUGGUGCGAAGGAAUCGAAUAUUUCGUAUGCGAGAUUGGGAUAUGAGUAAAAAUUGCUGAGCGCGUAGACUCGCGAAUAUAACCAUUAAUUAGCUGAUAACGGAAUCUUAGAUGCGUGCUACUGCGAUAUAUUUUGUCAUUUGACUCGUCGAAUAAAAGUUGGUGUUUCAAUU